AACGCACCUUGCGCUCCUUGGUAUUCCGAGGAGCAUGCCUGUUUGAGUGUCAUUUAAUUCUCAACCGUCCCUCGAUUGAUUUUCGAGGGUUUGGCUUGGACUUUGGGAGCUGCCGGCGACCGAUCGGGUCUUCGGCUCUCCUCAAAAGCAUUAGCGACGGCGGUGUGACCUCCCCCGUGCACGAAUGGCCUUCGACGUGAUAAUGAUCGUCGUGGGCUGGAGUGCUAGCGGGCGUCGUGUCGCGUUCGGCGCUUCUAAUUCUCGUCGAAAGACGAAAUAUAUCGAAACUUGACCUCAAAUCAGGUAGGACUACCCGCUGAACUUAA
rnacentral:misc_RNA from 1 species